UACGUAGGCAGCAAGCGUUGUUCGGAAUUACUGGGCGUAAAGGGCGCGUAGGCGGCUCGGUAAGUAGGGGGUGAAAUCCUGCGGCUUAACCGCAGGGCUGCCUUCUAAACUGUCGAGCUUGAGCACGGUAGAGGCAGAUGGAAUUCCCGGUGUAGCGGUGGAAUGCGUAGAGAUCGGGAAGAACAUCAGUGGCGAAGGCGGUCUGCUGGGCCGUUGCUGACGCUGAGGCGCGACAGCGUGGGGAGCAAACAGG
rnacentral:rRNA from 1 species